ensembl:lncRNA
UGAGAAGUGACAGUCAUCUGCAGAGAGAUUACUAAGAUCUAAAAUGAUCUGGAGACUGAAAAAUGUCCCCUUUUCUUUCAUUUUAUCGUCAAAAUAGGUCGCAAAUUUCGAUUUUACGCAUCAAAAAUACAGUUUGAUCGUGGUUUUAUUUCAGAUGGGGACUCUGUAGAGAGCAGGGAGGGUGAAGGGUUAAUUUGUGGCCGGGGAAACCUGAUGCUAAUUAAGUCUUAGGAAUGCCAUAUACUGACAUUGUAGUGCAGAAGCCCUCAGAGUGGGUCAGGCAUGGAGAGAGCCAGCAGUAACGCGUGCGUCUAAUGUUUUUAUUCUGUACUGACAGUCGGGAAAAGCCAGUCUCACCAAAGCCUGGAGCUGAAGGAUAUUUUACGCAAAAAUGGUUUCAGUAGCCCCCUUUCUGUUGCUGCUCAUCUCCUGGGUGUCACUGCACAGCGCGGAGGUUUGCCGGGGGACGCACUGCCACGGCGGGGACACCAGCGAUCCAAGACCGUGCACGGGAGCGCACUGUCCGGGGAGCAGAUCCUCCAGACCUCCGCGGCAGUUUAACCCAAACGCGCAGGGGAAAGCGGUCAGCCACCACCAUGCGCACUCGGGCUCUCCAAGCUCCAGCGUCCAGAUCCUCCGCGGCACACGCGUGAGAGCGCCUGAAGUUUUCCCUGCAGGAUGCACCGAUGCGGACUGCGCUGCGCUUUUCAGGCAGUUUCAGCCCAACAACGACACCCGGGAGUGCAGAGGGAUCGAGUGCAGGCUGCCGCUGAGGAUCCGGCCGAAAGCUCGGGCGAAGUCCUGCGUUGGAGAGGGAUGUCUGAGCGGCUCGGAGGAGAGCCAGCUUCCUCCUGUCCAUCUCUCCGACAGAGCCGCGCAAUUUCUGGGAGAUUUCCCUGAGUUGGGAUAUCCGUCUUCGGAACUUGGCGGCGCGCCUUUGGGUGUCCAGCUCACAUGUGACAUCAAACCAGGGGAGAAUGAAGUUCCGUCAGAAGAUGCCCUCAUCUUGCACCUCCAGCUCACCAAGGGGCAGGAGAAGCUGGUGGAGGCCCUUCGAGCCCAGCAGGCGAUCAUUCGUGACCUGCAGCAGAAGCUGGCCGACCAACAGGAGGCGUUGCUGUCCCAGCAGCGCGAGAUCCUGGAGCAGCAGCGGCGGAUGUACGAGCAGAUGGACGUGGUCAAGGCCCAGUACGGCCUCCUUUCUGACACCGUCAAGCAGGUUUCCUUCCAGGGCCUGCAGAGCGAGCUGCAGAGCUACUUUGAGAGCCACCUGGCUGGGCUGCAGAGCCAGGCCCGAAGCCACCUGCAGAAAUCCUACGCCGUCCACAAAAUGGACAUCGACUCCAAGGUGAUGGAUGUGGUCGGGGAGGCUCACUUUCCUCAACCGCUGCUGGGAUGCCCUUCGCCCUGUGGGUCAGAGGAGUACUGUGAUUUUCAGAGGGACCCACCUCAGUGUCAGAAGUGCACCAUGUGUCCACCAGGCUUCUUCCUGAUCUCACAGUGCUCCCCGACGGCAGAUAGAAUGUGCCAGGACAGAGACGAAUGCCUGGAACUCCCAAACGUUUGUGGAGAGCGAGUGAAGUGCCUUAACACUCCAGGAGGAUUCCGGUGUCUGGGAGUUUCUGAGAGAGAAGCAGUAACAGGCUUGUGUGGACACGACUACUUCUACAAUCAGGAGCUGCAGGAGUGUCAGGCCUGCUCGGACUGCGACGGAGAACCCGUCACUGUUCCCUGCACGGCGGUCAGUGACGCCGUCUGCGGCCUGCUUUCGGAGAGCCGCCUCUCCGGGUCUUGGGUGGCGAACGUUGCAGUUCCCCCUGCCAGGACCUCCGUCGCCAAUAUCUUCCCCGGGCUUCAGCUGAACAUACGAGGCAAAGAGAGCAGCGAUCUGCUGUCCAACGAGGCGGGGCAGGUGACCUUCCUGCAGCACAGCCUGGUGUGGAUGGAUCACAACUUCGCCAUAAAGCACAGCUGCAGGAAUUUCCUCCAGGUGGGCAUGAGGCUCAACGUGAGCCAGGAGGAGGAGGGUCAGGACAUCAGUGGGGUUCGGAUCGAGCAGCCGGAUGGGAAGUACUUCCAGGGGGUCAGCGUCAGUAGCGGCGUGGAGGUGGAGCCGAACCACACCUUCACGCUGCUGCUGAAGAGUCCGAACCAACACUGCAACCAGAGCAAGGAUCUCCACGUGUACGACGUCGCCGCUCCCUCUCUGAGCCUCCUCUGGUUGUCUCAUGAUACCGGCGCUGUCGCUAUGACGGCUCAGAUGUUACUCUUGGCUCACUACCAGACCAGCUACCGGCCAACUUUCCGCUUGAGCUCGGUGUCGGACCCCUACAUGAUCACCCUGACUCACGACAACCGCGGGGUUCGCUUCACGGAGAGCGGCGUGGUGAAGUUCGUCCUCCAGCAGGCGCUUUACUCCAUGGGCCACACCUGCAUUCGAGAGGGUUUCUCACUGAUCGCAUACACAAACCGCAACGGGACCGGCCAGGAGGCAAUGCAAGCCUUUAAGACGGGUGUUAACUACAGGGACACCUCCAUCACCCUCUCUGGUGCCGUUAGCGUCAACAGCGGAGACACCCUAGGCUUCGAGAUCACGUCCCCGUCCCAGUGCAACCUCCGCUACUUCGGGGACAACACUGGGAUCAGCAUGUUGAGCCUCAUCUGGAUUCCUUCAGCCGUGUCGUCGGCGUUGACCGCCACCGUGUCCAGGACCGGUCUUCCCUUCGGAGCGGUCAGGAAUAAGCCGCUGUUGUUCCAGCAGAUCAGCCCGGACACACCGCAGGUCCACUUGGCCCGCUCAGGAGAGCCGAACGCCCGGAAGAACUUUAUAUUCCACGAGAAAGGGACGGCGAACAUAGCCCUCAACCUGAAGCUGAUCCACUCCUGUAAUAUAGUCAAACUCACUCUGCAGCGGCCGGCGGGUCAGGGCAGGCAGGCAGGUCCUGUGGCUCAGCAGGUGUCUGGAUCUAUGCCUGAAGGGAGCGAGUGGGCCAGUAUAGGACUCAGAGCUUCCUUUCCGGUCCAGAACGGUACCGCUCUUUAUGUCACGCUGGACUGUAUCCGAGGACGAGUCAACCAGAUAACGCACGAGGGCGGCACUAACAUUUCAAUUCUCUGGGUUGCAGUGUGACCCCCGAGAAGAGGCCCAUCCUUUUUUCAUCAGUACAUUUUGUGAAUAAAGACAGUUUUGCACAGUAUUGAAUCGCAGAGCAGAUUCAAAAACAUUUACCAAACUAAGGAAGAAUACUGGUUGAUGAAAAACACAGUCAUCUAGUCCACAUAUUCUGUUAUUUCUAAUGUAUAUUUCUUCACCUGUUUAGACUUUAAUUGUGAGUUUUGUUUUUAGUGGAAAACUAUUAGUAUAAGUACUGCUUUUGCUUGAAGUACUUCGGCUGGUUGAGCAGUGACCAAUUGUACAUCUGAAUGUGUGUGUGAGUGUGUGUGAGAGUGUGUGUACGUACAUGUGUGAUGGUGCUUUUGUAUGUAUGUGCGUAUGUACACACACAUCGGCAUGCCUACUUUUGCAUAUGAGACAUUUAAUAUGUAUAUCCUUCCAUUCCUGCAUAUAUUUAACAUACACACUGUAUGUAAUAGUCAUUUUUUUUAUAUCAUUAGACCUUUAAAGGAGCAGUUUGACAUUUUGGGAAAUACUGCUACUUCCAUUAGCUGGUUAGCUUAGCUUAGCACAACAACUUGAACAAGGGGAAACGGCUAACCUGGCAAGGGAAUCUGUGGGUAUCUCUUGCACUUUUCCUCCUGUGAUCCAGAAAUCAUUCCCCCUCCGCCAUCAUGGAGGAUUUUCCCAUUACUUAAAUGCAAUUUGAGAUGAGAGGAUGUAUCUGAAGGAGUUUAGAACGUGGAAACAGCCGUUUCUGCAAGUGCCACAUCUUUUUUUGAAUGGUGACACAGCUGUGCAGCAUGUCAUAAAUGCUGUUGGGGAAAAAUAAUUUCUAAUUUGGCAACUAUCAAAAGUAUGACUGUCACCCAAGCAUGAAUGUGUAAAACUAUUUACACGACAGUUUAAAAUGUGGAUCAGACAUGCUGCACAGCUUGUAUCCUACAUUGCAGCCUUUGGAAUUCGCUGAUUGCAUUGUUGCAAACUGAUUUGAAAUCGAUUAAUUGUUCCAUCCUAUAACAUGUAGCAUUAGUAGCAUGUGACCUGAGAACCAGCAGCUGCUUCAGGCCUCCAUGUGUCUCCACACAAGAUGCAUUCAGACACGAUUUUAAGGAGCAGGUCACCCUAAUGAAGUGAAGCGCAAAAGGAAACGUGAAGCAUGUAAAUAUGUUUCAGAUUUCUUUUACGCGUACAAGGGAGUACGUGCAAGGCCCUUUCUUCCUGGUUUCCACUAAGCCCUCAUAAAGCAGCUAACUGACAUUUUUACUCCUCUGAUCAAACAAAUAAGAUGUACCGUGUAAAGUUUUAAACUGCUGAGGUGCUCGUAGGUAGAUUUUAUAACAGUUUGACCGAACCAAGCCAGCUGUUCCCGCCUGUUUCCCAAAAUGUUGAAUUACUCCUUUACUGUUAAGAAGAAAGACCUAUUCAAUAAUGCAGCAUUGUAACUUUUAAAUAAGCAGGAAUUUUGAUAUUUCAUGUAUUUGAUGAUAUUUAUUUUAUAAAACAGGACCUUUGUAUUUCACUAUAGAAUACAUGUUUGUCAGACAUGAGCAAAAAGUGAAAAAAACACCUAAAGCAUAUAUAGUAAAGCACUGAGUAGACGGUGCUGACAUCCAGAUGCACGCAGUGAUAGCCUCUAUCAUAAGUUUAUUUGCACACAUGUAGUUUAGCAUAGCAUUAUGGAAUGUGCAAACAUUAUACUUUGUUAUUCUUUUGCCUAAAUGCUGUUUCCCUGUGAAGAGUUGCCCAUGCAUAUCACUCCUAAUUGCCUCUGUGUGUGUUCUGUCCUCUCAACAAUUAGGCAUAAUUAAGUGUUUCAGAGAGUUGGCAGCAAAGCCGCCACUGAAAUUCUUCAGCUUUAUUCUCACUUCACUGCACGUAGUGAUAUUUUUGGGGUGCUGUUGGUCUCCCUGCACAUGUCUCGUGGAACGUCAGUGUAUGUGUUCAACACCAAAUAAAAAAUACAUAUAUUUUGCCAGAAAAGGAACGUCGCUGUCACUUGUGAAAGCAAAGCUGCAUUGUUGGUUUCAUCCCAGAAAAACAUCAAUUUGAGGGUGAAUAAUAGGAAC